rnacentral:rRNA from 1 species
GAUGAACGCUGGCGGCGUGCCUAAUACAUGCAAGUCGAACGCGAGAGGAGGGAGCUUGCUCCCUCUGAUCGAGUGGCGGACGGGUGAGUAACACGUAGGCAACCUGCCCAUCAGUCCGGGAUAACCGCGGGAAACCGUGGCUAAUACCGGAUGAUCCGCUCCACCGCGGGGCGGGGAGUGGAAAGACGGUUUCGGCUGUCGCUGAUGGAUGGGCCUGCGGCGCAUUAGCUGGUUGGCGGGGUAACGGCCCACCAAGGCAACGCUGCGUAGCCGACCUGAGAGGGUGAUCGGCCACACUGGGACUGAGACACGGCCCAGACUCCUACGGGAGGCAGCAGUAGGGAAUCUUCCGCAAUGGACGCAAGUCUGACGGAGCAACGCCGCGUGAGUGAAGAAGGGUUUCGGCUCGUAAAACUCUGUUGUUAAGGAAGAACGACAGGUAGAGUAACUGCUACCUGUGUGACGGUACUUAACCAGAAAGCCACGGCUAACUACGUGCCAGCAGCCGCCGUAA